GACGAACGCUGGCGGCGUGCCUAAUACAUGCAAGUCGAACGAGAGCAACCGGUGCUUGCACUGGUCAAUCUAGUGGCGAACGGGUGAGUAACACGUGGGUAACCUGCCCAUCAGAGGGGGAUAACGUCCGGAAACGGAUGCUAAAACCGCAUAGGUCUUCGAACCGCAUGGUUUGAAGAGGAAAAGAGGCGCAAGCUUCUGCUGAUGGAUGGACCCGCGGUGCAUUAGCUAGUUGGUGAGGUAACGGCUCACCAAGGCCGUGAUGCAUAGCCGACCUGAGAGGGUGAUCGGCCACAUUGGGACUGAGACACGGCCCAAACUCCUACGGGAGGCAGCAGUAGGGAAUCUUCCGCAAUGGACGCAAGUCUGACGGAGCAACGCCGCGUGAGUGAAGAAGGUUUUCGGAUCGUAAAACUCUGUUGUUAGAGAAGAACAAGUGCUAGAGUAACUGUUAGCGCCUUGACGGUAUCUAACCAGAAAGCCACGGCUAACUACGUG
rnacentral:rRNA from 1 species